rnacentral:rRNA from 1 species
AGAUUAAGCCAUGCAUGUCUAAGUAUAAACGAUUUAAUCGUGAAACCGCGAAUGGCUCAUUAUAACAGCUAUAAUUUACUUGAUCUUGACACAAUCCUACUUGGAUAACUGUGGUAAUUCUAGAGCUAAUACAUGCAUUAAAGCUCUGACCUCACGGGAAGAGUGCAUUUAUUAGAACAAAACCAAGCGGCUUCGGCUGUUUCUGGUUGACUCAUAGUAACUGAGCUGAUCGCAUGGUCUUGCACCGGCGACGUGUCUUUCAAGUAUCUGCCGUAUCAACUUUCGAUGGUAGUGUAUCUGACUACCAUGGUGAUCACGCGUAACGGAGAAUAAGGGUUCGGCUCCGGAGAGUUCGCCUGAGAAAUCGCGAACACAUCUAAGGAAGGCAGCAGGCGCGAAAAUUACCCACUCUCAGCACGAGGAGGUAGUGACGAAAAAUAACGAGACCGUUCUCUUAUGAGGCCGGUCAUCGGAAUGGGUACAAUUUAAAC